rnacentral:misc_RNA from 1 species
UACGUAGGUGGCAAGCGUUGUCCGGAAUUAUUGGGCGUAAAGCACGCGCAGGCGGUCCCUUAAGUCAGAUGUGAAAUCUUGCGGCUUAACCGCAAGCGGUCAUUGGAAACUGGAGGACUUGAGUACAGAAGAGGAAAGUGGAAUUCCACGUGUAGCGGUGAAAUGCGUAGAGAUGUGGAGGAACACCAGUGGCGAAGGCGGCUCUCUGGUCUGUAACUGACGCUGAGGCGCGAAAGCGUGGGGAGCAAACAGG